rnacentral:rRNA from 1 species
UACAGAGGUCCCGAGCGUUGUUCGGAUUCAUUGGGCGUAAAGGGUGCGUAGGCGGCGGGGCAAGUCUGAUGUGAAAUCCCGGGGCUCAACCCCGGAACUGCAUUGGGUACGGGCAGACUAGAGUGCGGUAGGGGAGACUGGAAUUCCGUGGUGUAGCGGUGAAAUGCGCAGAUAUCAGGAGGAACACCGGUGGCGAAGGCGGGUCUCUGGGCAGUAACUGACGCUGGAGGCGCGAAAGCUAGGGGAGCGAACGGG